rnacentral:lncRNA from 1 species
AUGGGAACACAAACACAGAAUGCCAUGGGAACACAAACACAGAAGCAAAACACCCAAUCUCAGAAGGAUGGUGGCCGCGUGAUGGUUAAGUCUACAGACUGCAGAUUCACAAGCCCCAGGUUCAGACCCUCACUUAGCCACUUACUAAGUACUGGGGAGGGGUUACCUAGCCCCUCCCACUGCCUCAUUUUUCUCAUCUGCAGAAUGGGGAUAAUGAAAGCCCAACCUUUAGACUUGAGGUUGUCAUACUUCAGUGUUAAUAAGCAUCGUCUGGAGAGCUUGUGACAACAGAAGGUGGAGUUCCCUUCGUGGCUCAGUGGUUAAUGAACCCAACUAGCAUCCAUGAGGACGCGGGUUCAAUCCCCAGCCUUGCUCAGUGGGUUAAGGAUCCAGCGUUGCCAUGAGCUGUGGUGUAGGCCGCAGACACAGCUCAGAUCCCCAAGUUGCUGUAGCUGUGGUGUAGGCUGGCGGCUACAGCUCCAGUUCGAUCCCUAGCCUGGGAACCUCCAUAUGCCAUAGUCACAGCCCUAAAAAGACAAAAGACAAAAACAAAAAAACCCAAAAAGACAGAAAGCUGCACCCCUGCCCCAAAGAUUCUGAUCUCAUAGUCCUGAGUAGGACCUAAGGAUUUGCAUCCAUAAUAAGUCCCACAAUUAGAGUGACAUUUGUCUAGAAGGCGGCUCCUAAAACAUGAAUGUCCAUUCCCAACACCUGGAGAGCUCAUUAAACCAUGGGUGCUGGUUCAGUAGGUCUGGGGUCUGAGACUCUGCAUUCUUAACUCUCGUCCAGCUGAGGCUGAUGGAGCUGGCCAAUCACCCAUGUUUGGAGGCUGCCGUAUCUGAAACACAGCAGAUGAGCAAAUACAUUAUCUGUUACAUAUAUUUUUUAAUAGCUCAUGUCGCAUCCUCUGUAUUAUAAAGUGACAGUGAUAUUAAACAGCCAAUGGGUAGGGUUUGAAACAUCCUCGUUUGUUCAGUGAUAAAGUUGAAGACACUGCGUCAAAUGCAAUGGAGAGGUUAUACUGAUUUGCAGAAACCAAAAGCUUCCAAACCAAGGAUCCGGAAUCUCCUCAAAGGCACCUGUAGAUGUAGAGAAUUCUCAAAAGAGCUUGUUUCAGACUAGAAUUCCAAAACCUGUGAUGAAGUAAGAACUAGCUACAGGGAAACAAGGUUUUGCAGAGGAUCUGAAGGGAAUUAACAGUCCUUUUAAAGAGCCUUUGCCCUUGCAAAAAAAAAUUUUUUUUUUUUUUUUUUUUUGCUUUUUAGAGCCACACCCACAGCAUAGGGAGGUUCCAAGGCUAGGGGUCUAAUUGGAGCUGCAGCUGCUGGCCUACCCCACAGCCACAGCAAUGCAGGAUUCGAGCCACGUCUGCGACCUAGGCCACAGCUCAUGGCAAUGCCGGAUCCUUAACCUACUGAGCGAGACCAGGGAUCAAACCGGUAGCCUCACGGUUCCCAGUCGGAUUCAUUUCUGCAGCACCACAAUGGGAAUUCCUGAAAUACAUUUUAAAUAAAGAAAACGUUACAAUGGCUACA